UCCUCUAGAGAUUCGCCCGCCGCGCGCGGCGGGCGGGGCGGGGGCACGGGGGGCCUACGGGAGGCAGCAGUGGGGAAUUUUGGACAAUGGGCGAAAGCCUGAUCCAGCCAUGCCGCGUGAGUGAAGAAGGCCUUCGGGUUGUAAAGCUCUUUCAGCAGGGACGAAGCGCAAGUGACGGUACCUGCAGAAGAAGCACCGGCCAACUUCGUGCCAGCAGCCGCGGUAAUAAU
rnacentral:rRNA from 1 species